GUCCAAUUUAAACAGUUGAGGGAUGAAAAACAAAAAAAAAAUCAAGUUGAGGGACAUUUUUUUUUUACCUUUCUCCUAGUUAAUUGAUGAAUAUUUGU